ACACUGUUGGUUCUUUUUAAUUUUAAAUUACUGUUGAUGAUCUUUUUGUCACUUCAUUCAAAGCAGUUUCCGAUGUAAUGGUGAAGUUGUUUAGAAACCAGAAUUGACAUUAGAGUUUUUUCUUUUUUUCAGCUAGCAAUACAUACAUCUAUUUGAUGUAACUGAUAGCAUGGAUGAAAAUUCUGGAAGUGGAGGGUAGAGUGAUGGAGAUAAAUGUUAAGUUUUAAGAACAUUUAUUAAACUAAGCAUUCCUUCUACAACAACUUAUACUUCACUGGCAGUGUAGGAUCCAAGAGGAGUAGGUUUGUGUCCGAACACACCAGUAAACGCAGCUGGCAACCGGAUGGAUCCUGCAAUAUCCGAAGCCACUCCGAGAACAGAGGCUCCAGAAGAUACGAGGGCUGCCUGAAUCAAGUAAUGACAUGAUCAGUUUUGUAAAAUUUAAGAAAAUAUCAAACUGCUUCAGAAUAAAAUUUAGUACUACUUUUUCAUUG